AAAUAUUCUAUUUUCUUAUAAAACAAUAUUUAUAGAGUUAUACGUGAAUAAUUUUUAUAACGUAAAAGCUAAAUAAAUUUAUACAUACUGAAAUACAGUAAGCCAAAAUAUUUAAUUUAAUUUACAAUAACAAGAGGGCCCCCGAAUAAACAAAAGUAAAGAGGACUGUGAACUUACGGUUUGGAAAAUGCAGAUCCAAUGGUAGUCCUCGAUGAGAUCAGCUAUCUAUAGUCUAUACUGAAC
rnacentral:lncRNA from 1 species